rnacentral:rRNA from 1 species
ACUAACAAGGGAUUCCCCUAGUAACUGCGAGUGAAGCGGGGAAAAGCUCAAAUUUAAAAUCUGGCGGCUUUGUCGUCCGAGUUGUAAUCUGGAGAAGUGCUUUCCGCGCUGGACCGUGUACAAGUCUCUUGGAACAGAGCGUCAUAGAGGGUGAGAAUCCCGUCUUUGACACGGACUACCAGUGCUUUGUGAUGCGCUUUCAAAAGAGUCGAGUUGUUUGGGAAUGCAGCUCAAAAUGGGUGGUGAAUUCCAUCUAAAGCUAAAUAUUGGCGAGAGACCGAUAGCGAACAAGUACCGUGAGGGAAAGAUGAAAAGCACUUUGGAAAGAGAGUUAAACAGUACGUGAAAUUGCUGAAAGGGAAACGCUUGAAGUCAGUCGCGUUGUUCAGAACUCAACCUUGCUCUCGCUUGGUGCACUUUCUGAAUGACGGGCCAGCAUCGAUUUUGACCGUCGGAAAAGGGCUGGAGUAAUGUGGCACCUCCGGGUGUGUUAUAGACUUCAGUCGCACACGACGGUUGGGAUCGAGGACCGCAGCGCGCCGUAAGGCAGGGGUUCGCCCACUUUCGCGCUUAGGAUGCUGGCAUAAUGGCUUUAAACGACCCGUCUUGAAACACGGACCAAGGAGUCUAACAUGCCUGCGAGUGUUUGGGUGGAAAACCCGAGCGCGUAAUGAAAGUGAAAGUUGAGACCUCUGUCGUGGAGGGCAUCGACGCCCGGACCUGACGUUCUCUGAAGGAUCCGCGGUAGAGCAUGUAUGUUGGGACCCGAAAGAUGGUGAACUAUGCCUGAAUAGGGUGAAGCCAGAGGAAACUCUGGUGGAGGCUCGUAGCGAUUCUGACGUGCAAAUCGAUCGUCAAAUUUGGGUAUAGGGGCGAAAGACUAAUCCAACCAUCUAG